GAGAAGAAUACAAGAAUCAAAGACUCACUCGUUAACACUUUCAGGAGCCCCAUAAAAACACUAAACUGUAUAUAUGCGGAAGAUGCGGAAGACUUGGUGCAGACCCAGAAAGCUUCUGAAAACCUUGAUGGAGACAGUCAUGUGCCCUUGGUAUCAGGACUUGCAGCAGCACCGUGGUCCUUUAUUUAUAGCAUCUGCUACGGUUUAAUAACAUCUGCAUGAUGUAAGGGCUUGGCAGAGACAGCUUGCGUCUGCCAUACCCGAGUCACCUGGCAUCACCUCCAGGCUCAAGGU